CUUACUCUUAGUUAUAAGUACUUUAGUAUGUCUUAAUUAUUUCUUCUCCAUAUAUCAUGUCUUAGGGUAUACUGUACAUUAAAGACAAGUCUUUUAUUUUAAAGUAUGUUAUUUUGAUAGAUAUAUGAUUGAGAAGUAUUUGACUUUCUCUAGUUCAUGAUUUCAGGAAAGGUUAUUGAACAAAUAAAAGAAAAGCUUUUACUAUCUGAUCAGGACCUACAUACUAGUAAGUUGGAGCAAGGCUUAUGGUUUAUAACAAUAGACAACUUUUGAAAACCAGUCCAGAUGAAUGGCUAAUGAUGAUAUCGAUGAAGAAUUUCAAGAUUUAGAAGUACAAGAGAUGAAGACAGAUGUUUAUGUUCAAGUGUACGUUAUUUGGAUUGUGAAAAUGAUAAUUGACAUUUUGAGUUAACAAUACCCAAUUAAAUAUUCGAAUACUUUAUUGUGA